GCAUUAUUAUUCAUGGCUAUCUAUAUAAACCCUUGAAAUUGCUAAAUUUACAAUAAAACACAUUUAAUCCCUCGAAUUUAAUUAUAAUGUCAACAAAAACAUAUUUCUGCGUCCUCGCAUUUGUUUUAUGCUUUUCUGCAGUCUCGGCACAACCAGACCAAUGUCGUAUGUAUACAAGACUUUUGCGCGCGGGUCAGAGAGUAUGUCAACGCAUGUGUUUUCCAUCACCUCAUACAAGAUGUUUCACUUCUAGAUUAGGUCAACGAAUAGAUCUCUGUCCUGCACAUUGUUGUCGUAUUGGUAAUAGGUGCAAUCCACCUUAAUUGUUAUAAACAACGCAGAAUUAUAAAUGGAUCUUUGUUUUUGAAAUGCAAAGUUAUGAAUAAACGAAAUAUUAAUAAAAAAAUAUUUUGCAACACAAAA